rnacentral:rRNA from 1 species
ACGGAAGGCAGCAGUGGGGAAUAUUGCACAAUGGGGGAAACCCUGAUGCAGCGACGCCGCGUGAGUGAAGAAGUAUUUCGGUAUGUAAAGCUCUAUCAGCAGGGAAGAUAAUGACGGUACCUGACUAAGAAGCCCCGGCUAACUACGUGCCAGCAGCCGCGGUAAUACGUAGGGGGCAAGCGUUAUCCGGAUUUACUGGGUGUAAAGGGAGCGUAGGUGGCGUGGCAAGUCAGAAGUGAAAGCCCGGGGCUCAACCCCGGGACUGCUUUUGAAACUGUCAUGCUGGAGUGCAGGAGAGGUAAGUGGAAUUCCUAGUGUAGCGGUGAAAUGCGUAGAUAUUAGGAGGAACACCAGUGGCGAAGGCGGCUUACUGGACUGUAACUGACGUUGAGGCUCGAAAGCGUGGGGAGCAAACAGGAUUAGAUACCCUGGUA